rnacentral:rRNA from 1 species
CCUACGGGAGGCUGCAGUGGGGAAUAUUGGGCAAUGGGCGCAAGCCUGACCCAGCAACGCCGCGUGAAGGAAUAAGGCUUUCGGGUUGUAAACUUCUUUUGUCAGGGACGAAGCAAGUGACGGUACCUGACGAAUAAGCCACGGCUAACUACGGGCCAGCAGCCGCGGGAAUACGUAGGUGGCAAUGGUUAUCCGGAUUUAUUGGGUGUAAAGGGAGUGUAGGGGGGAAUGCAAGUAAGAUGUGAAAACUAUGGGCUCAACCCAUCACCUGCAUUUGAAACUGUAUUUCUUGAGUGCCGGAGAGGCAAUCGGAAUUCCGUGUGUAGCGGUGAAAUGCGUAGAUAUACGGAGGAACACCAGUGGCGAAGGUGGAUUGCUGGACAGUAACUGACGCUGAGGCGCGAAAGCGUGGGGAGCAAACAGGAUUAGAUACCCCAGUAGUC